rnacentral:lncRNA from 1 species
CUAAUUUCUCGCAUAUUAAUAAGCAAUUCAGUUAUUAAGAACCCUGACAUAUAACACACGUAUUUCAUUCCUACUUUGUUUAGGGCUUGAUGGGCAUAGUUUAACAGGACUGUGUGCCAUAUUCCGGGUCUGAAACGUGACCGAAGGAUUUGAUUUGUAUAUUACAAUUAUAACAAAAAAUCAAUUAAAAAAAAACAAUUAAAAAUAUAAAAACCAACAAAAAAAAAUAUUUCCUAAAACAAAACAACGAUCUUCAAAAAAAA